rnacentral:rRNA from 1 species
CUUUAUUGGGGUUGCGGACAUAUCAUAACGAAGAGGUAUCGUAAUUGAAGAGGUUUGGAAAGACCCACCACAGAAGGUAAUAGUCCUGUAUGUUAAACGAGAAGACUUUAGAUAUGAUCCAGAGUACCACGGGACACGUGAAACCCUGUGGGAAGCAGGAGGGACCACCCUCCAAGGCUAAAUACUACCUAGUGACCGAUAGCGUAUAGUACCG